AAAAAAAAAAAAUCAAAUUAAUCAAAACCCCCAAAUCUCUUCCAAUAAUGCCUUGCACUCGACCUCUGCUCACUGUCCAAAACCCUAAAUUAAUCAAAACCCCCAAAUCUCUUCCAAUUCCAAAUAGCAAUGAAUACACGUCACCACCGCCGAACAGUAUCUUGGUCGGAAUUAUCGCCGGAGCUCUUAGUAUUCACCGUAGAAAUCCUCGAGACCCGCGCUGAAAUCCUCGACUUCCGGCGAGUCUGCAAAACAUGGCGAUCAUCAACUUCUCUCUCUCCUAGUAUCAAAGCACAUCUUAUCCCAUCUCUUCACCUACAAAAUCGUCUCAGACGCCAUUGAUGAGGUGGACACCCCAGUUUUUGUCGCAGCUUCAGUUUUCUCAUGCGACCAGUUGGCAGUUGAUAAUCCAAAUCUCCCACCAUGGUUGUGCACCGUUGCGGAAUCGAACCCUGGUGAGCUCUUCCUCUAUCGACCCUAUGGUUUGCAAUUUCCCCUGAAUUUCCCGCGCAUUUUGGAUUUAUCUUGAUUUCACUUGUCCGAAUUGUGUAAAUUCCAUUCUUUCCACAAACAAUUAUACCCUAGCAUGAAAAGUGGCUUUGUUUGUGAACCCAAAAUGCAAAUCUGAUCCUACAAUUAAUGAUUGUGGUGUUAUGGAAUUGUUUGAUGAUGGGGAUGUAUCCAAAACAUGGCUUGUAAGUGGAAAUUAUUGUGGAGUGUUAUUGGUUGAUUAAUAGUGAACCGGAAUUGCCGGAGGUGCUGGAAAUAGCAAGUGAUCAUAUGUAUGUGGGUUUGAUAUGCGAUAACAAGAAACGUUUAGUCGUAUCAUGUGGUGAACUGUAUCUAAUUUACAUAUGGUGUGAGGAAGAGGGUGUUACCUUUACAGUUUUAAAGUUGAAUGAGGAGGAAACAAAUUGGGAGUAUGUGAAAGGUGUUGGUGAUGAUAGGAUAAUGUUUGUGACAUGUGAUGUUUGUUUCUUUGCCUCGUCUAAGGAUUUCCCAGGGUGGAGAGGGAAUUGCAUUGUAUUUCUGAAGGUAGUUUUCCCCAAUAUAAUGGAACUUCAAGGCAUGAUCAGAGAAUUUUCGAGGGGCUGUCAGAUGCCGAUCUUAAGUUUGCUGUUUUUCACUUUGAGGGAGGUUAUAGGCCUAUAAAGUCUUAUCCAGGCUAUUCUCAUGUAUUUUGGCCUCCCCCUUGCGUGGCUCGUUGCAGACAAAUGUUUGUCCAAAUGAGGUCCGAGUUCAAGGCAGCAAUGAUUGUGGUCCAGCUGCUAAUGCUGAGCUUCAAUUCAUGAAAGUGGCACUUCAAUGAGAAAUUUGAAGGAGUUGAUGUGAGCUCUCAGAUCAUUUGAAGCUAAUUUUACAGAAGAUUUGGGAUAAACACAGGAAUAUAAUGCAAGGUCAUGUUGUGCACAGUGAUACUGUUUUAACAUGGGGUUUGGGUCUCUAGCUAAGAUAAUAAUUACUCUUCAAAGUGAUUCAGGAAGGUCCUUGGAUGACUCCCAAGCUAAAUUCCUAAACUCAGCCAUAAUUAACCUUCAGUUGAUGCAUUUUAGAAUAGACUGGUUAGUACCCCAUGUAGAAAAGGCGUUAGCUCUUCACAAAAACAGGGAGCAGGUAGGUGCUAUUAUUGUUCUUGAGGCUAAGAAAUCCAAACUUGCACUGGAAUCGCACAAGGCAGAAGGAAGGUUGCGUGAGGUGGAAGGAAAGUUGCGUGAGGUGGAAGAGAGGUUAGCUGAAAGGAGAAAGCUUGUUCCCGAGAGCCUGUUGGUUACUCCUUUAGAUGUAAAAGAUUUGCUCAGCUGAAUGCCAUUGUUCAGUCCUCGAUCCUGCCUUAUGCAACGAUCAUGGAAGGAGGCCAAGACAUAAAACUCAGAGGAGUUACACCAAGGAAAAAUGGAAAAUGGGGUGCUGCCGUCACAGUGAACAAGAAGCAAAUAUGGCUUGGGACUUAUGAAACGGAGGUAGAUGCUGCAUUGGCAUAUGACAGAGCAUGUCUAAAGCAAAAUGAGAGAAAUGCAGCGGUGUAAGAGGGAUUGGUCGGAGUUUCCUCAAGAAUUACUUCUUCAAAUUUCCAAUUGUAUCAAAACUAAUGACGAUCUCUGUAAUUUCCGGUCAGUUUGCAAGAAUUGGCGUUCUUCUUCCCCAUCUUCGAGAAAUCGUCGCUUAUUGGAUUCUCGCUUACCUCUCCAAAUUCAACCUCAUGCCUCAAUUUUCAAGCAAUCGGACUCCGACUGCCCAAUUUUCUUAGUGAGAAGCCGGACAUAUAUCCUUCAACCUGUUAGAUCAUACAAAAUUCAAAUCAUCCAAACCAUGGUUAGUCUCUGUUGAAGAGUUGAACCCAGGUAAGCUCCGUUUCCGGCUUCCUCUUACUAAAACCAUUGUUCAAAAUCUUCCCCCUUGUUUUCCCAAGAUGUUGAAUUUAUCAGAAUUUCGAGUUUCGUGUAUUGGUGAAGGGGUUAAACUCUGCUCUGGUAAUGGCAAUGAAGAUGUGUUUGACCUCGACGAGUUUUGUAGUUGUCCUAUUAAAGUGGUUUUUCUCUCUGUUUGUGGUCGUAUAACUCUGAUAUUCAUCCUUGAUAAAAAUGGAAACUUGAUCUGUUUGGAACUAGGUAGUGGCAAAUUUAAAGAUAUAAGCUAAUGGUCAAGGUCGUUGCUUUGAUGACAUUGUAAAUUUCAAGGGUCAAAUUUGUGGUAUAGACCGUAAGGGAAGAGCUUAUCUGAUUGAUAGUUGUAAGUCGAGUGUGAAAGCUGCCAUUGCUGGCCCUAUCUCACCUGAAGGUAGUAAUCGGCGUAAGCUUUUGGCGGAAUCGUGUGGGAAUUGUAUUUGAUUAAUCGGCCAGGUGGUCAAUACUUUGAAGUUUAUAAGCUAAAUCAAAAGCUCCAUGUAUGGAAUAAGGUUGAUAGUUUGGGAGAUAGAAUCACCUUUGAUAAUUGCU